rnacentral:piRNA from 1 species
UGCCUCCCUUUGAAGAAUUAAAUGUGGGC